GUCCAGGGGCAGGUAGAAGGUCAUACACAGGAGGAGGCAGGUAGCUGGGUCCAGGGGUAGGCAGAAGGUCAUACACAGGAGGAGGCAGGUAGCUGGGUCCAGGGGCAGGUAGAAGGUCAUACACAGGAGGAGGCAGGUAGCUGGGUCCAGGGGCAGGAAGAAGGUCAUACACAGGAGGAGGCAGGUAGCUGGGUCCAGGGGCAGGCAGAAGGUCAUACACAGGAGGAGGCAGGUAGCUGGGUCCAGGGGCAGGCAGAAGGUCAUACACAGGAGGAGGCAGGUAGCUGGGUCCAGGGGCAGGAAGAAGGUCAUACACAGGAGGAGGCAGGUAGCUGGGUCCAGGGACAGGUAGCUGGGUCCAGGGGCAGACAGAAGGUCAUACACAGGAGGAGGCAGGUAGCUGGGUCCAGGGGCAGGCAGAAGGUCAUACACAGGAGGAGAGAGGUAGCUGGGUCCAGGGGCAGGCAGAAGGUCAUACACAGGGGGUCCAAAAAGGCAAUAUAGUACAGGCAGGGAAAAGGCUAGUAAUUUUGUCCGGGAGAUAAGGUAAUAGGUUGAUAACAGGAAAUCCGAUAAGUUAAAGUAUAGGCAGGGAAUAGGCAAAAGGUGUCGUUAGUGAGGUAGGUAAAAACUAU
ensembl:lncRNA